rnacentral:tRNA from 2 species
CGGGGUGUAGCGCAGGUGGUAGCGCACUUGACUGGGGGUCAAGGGGCCGCAGGUUCAAGUCCUGUCACUCCGACCA